rnacentral:rRNA from 1 species
GAAUAUUGGACAAUGGGGGCAACCCUGAUCCAGCCAUGCCGCGUGAGUGAAGAAGGCCUUAGGGUUGUAAAGCUCUUUCAACGGUGAAGAUGAUGACGGUAGCCGUAGAAGAAGCCCCGGCUAACUCCGUGCCAGCAGCCGCGGUAAUACGGAGGGGGCAAGCGUUGUUCGGAAUUACUGGGCGUAAAGGGCGCGUAGGCGGAUUUACAAGUUAGGGGUGAAAGGCCCGGGCUCAACCUGGGAACUGCCUUUAAAACUGUAAGUCUUGAGUUCGAGAGAGGAUGGCGGAAUACCCAGUGUAGAGGUGAAAUUCGUAGAUAUUGGGUAGAACACCGGUGGCGAAGGCGGCCAUCUGGCUCGACACUGACGCUGAGGCGCGAAAGCGUGGGGAGCAAACAGG